AUUGAACGCUGGCGGCAGGCCUAACACAUGCAAGUAGAACGAGUGGCGGACGGGUGAGUAAUGUCUGGGAAACUGCCUGAUGGAGGGGGAUAACUACUGGAAACGGUAGCUAAUACCGCAUACCAUCGGAUGUGCCCAGAUGGGAUUAGCUAGUAGGUGGGGUAAAGGCUCACCUAGGCGACGAUCCCUAGCUGGUCUGAGGGGAUGACCGGACACAGUGGACCUGAGCCUCGGUCCAUACUCUGCCGGGAGGAAGCAGUGGGGAAUAUUGCACAAGGGGCGCAAGCCUGAUGCAGCCAUGCCGCGUGUAUGAAGAAGGCCUUCGGGUUGUAAAGUACUUUCAGCGGGGAGGCGUUACCCGCAGAAUAAGCACCGGCUAACUCCGUGCCAGCAGCCGCGGUAAUUC
rnacentral:rRNA from 1 species